rnacentral:rRNA from 1 species
AUGCUCCCUUGUGAUUUCUUUGCUUCUAACUUGCAUUGCAUGAUGCCAUCACUUAAGGUAGAUUUGAAAAACUAUUUGCUUGGACAUGAUCAUACACACCCUGUUAGUGGCAUUACUCUCAUUUGUGAUGAUAACAUUUACUUUCCUCGUGCUAGUUCUAUGCUUAAUGAAACAUAUCAUUCCCAUGCUAGUCUUGAGCUUAAUGAUAAAUAUCAUCCUCAUGUUAGCAUUGAGCUUACUGAUUUGUACCAUCCUAAACAUGUGCUUUAUAGCUAUGCUUAUGUAAUUGGGUACUCUAUAGAUGAUUUAGAGGGCAUUACCCUUGCCACUUGUAUUGUUUCCUUGGUUGAGUGCUCUUUCAGGUUGGUGCUUGUGCACGAUCCACUACAUGCUGACCAAGUUCGAGAUGACAUUCCCUGGGACCCCGGUGGACCCAUGGCAUGGGGAUGA